UAAAUAAAUAAAUUGUAUAUAUUUUGUUGUUCACGUGUUGUUUCAUUCAAUUUGAUGAUUUUUCCUUUGAUGGGUUUGAUGAAUUUGAUGGGUUGUAUAUACAAUUUUAAGAUUAUUACUUAUGUUGAUACCUCGUUACUGUAUUGUUUCGUUUAAUUUAAUAAUUGUUCCAUUGUGGGAUGUAUAUAUAAUUAUGUAUGUGUGUGUAUGCGUGUGUGUGUAUGUGUAUGCUUGUGCAUGUGUGUGUAUUGAUAAAUGUGGUAUACUAUUCGAAAUACAACUCUGAAAGAAAAAAAAAAUUUUCUCCAUCGAUUUGAUUCUGCUGAGUAUUGGAUAUUUGAUGUUAGAUGCUGUUGCAAUGCUAAACUUUUCAACUAUUAGUUUUUCAGGAUAUUCAAAACAUUUUCAAUAUAUGCAAGUUGAGAGUUUCAAAAAAAAGUUAUAUUCCAAUUUGCUGAAAUUAACAACAUUUUAGUAGAUAUAACUGCACAGUUCUCUAACGAUCCAGAAGAAGGUUUUACACAACGUAAAAUUUCAGAUGAACUUAAUGUUUUGAAAAGAAAAAUUGCAAAUAUAGAUAUCCAAUACAUCGCUUUUGUAUUAGUCAGUUUUAUCUUUAUAGUUUAUAUGUUAUAUAUUGUUACAAUAAUUCUUUUAAAUUGUCAUAAACAUUUUCAAUGUUUCUUUCACAUUGUUUCUUUUUAGGUAAAACAGUUAUCAUUAAUUAGCGGUAAAAAAUCGAGUAGAUACAAUUAAAAAUAUUUUGCUCUUACUACCAACAGACACUAUUUUGUCCGAAUACAGCAUGAAUGGUCUAAAGAAGAAAAAAAAGUUUAAAGAAUUGACAAGUCUAUGUAAUGCUGAAACUGCUUUAAAGUCAAAUAAAAACAAAAUGGAUGCCAUCCAUCCAACUUAUUGGGAGAGUAAUUAGGAAUUCUUCUGACCGAUUAAAGAAAACAUCCACUAAUAUGAAUAUCAAUCAAUGAUCGGCUUAA